CAUUCAACUACUGACAAUAACAAGAAUAUAAUCUUAUACAGAAAAUGUAAAAUCUUUGGGUUAUCCAUUUAAUCGAAAUGUUGAACACUGGUAAACAACUUUCUACCAUAGUGUUAGUGAAAUUGAACGAUUAAAGAUACACGAAAUAUUGUUUAUAAGUGUAUUACAAUACACACAAUUUGAUUUUGAUGAUAUGAAUCAUUUCUGGUUCUGAACAUUGCUAGCAUAAAAAAAAAAGAAAAAAAGAGAAGAUAGAAGUGAAGCACCAUCGAUACACUAUAUACACACAUAUAUAUAUUUAAGGCGCACUGGAAGAACUAAACAACAGACAGACUCAACCACUCACGAGACAUAUUUAUAUACUAAGUCGUCACUGCCUGUUACGGCAUCAAUCAAAUAUCAAUCAAGACUCCAUUUUACCUGAGUUCAGAAUGGAGCCUUGCGUGGGCCGAAAUAGUUGUAGAAGUAGUAGACGUAGUGUUAUAAACAGAGGAACAGAGAUAUAAGUUGCGUAUUAUUGAUAUAAUCGCUUGGACUCGUUCGUGUUAAUUUUGCUACAAAAUUCUGCUGAUUAUCAAUAAGGCUCGUUAAUUAACGUUAUCAAAGAGGUUCUGUAACAAGUGGUGGAGCUUUUUUUUUGUAAAUAUCGCUGCUAAUAAACGCUAUAGUAAAUGCGGAUCUGAAGAAAAAAACAAUAGAAGUAAAUUUGAUUUCCAGUGGACACGAUAUAAGGAAACGCUAACGAUGGAUGACAUGAUAUCUCAAUAAUAAAAACGAACGAAAAAGGAAACGGAUGAAAUGAACAUCUUCCAUUAUUCAGAAACAACAUAUCUAAUACCAAAGGAGGACAUAACAGUGGAAUUUUAAGACAAUCAAAAACUAGGGCAAAUCUUAGAAUGACUAUCAUGGCAAGAAAUGAAUGAAUAGACUUUUAUCGUCGAAUAUAAUUCAAGAAAGCAAAAAAUCAAGGCAACGAGAAGUGAUCGUAAAACGUAUGUCGAUAUAUUAUUCUAAGACUAAGGUCCUCAAAACACAGUGCCAUUAAAAUUUAUCAAAGCGUUUAAAUAUUAUUAAUAAUUCAAAUUGUGAUUUAAGCAAACUAAGAUGUUGCAUUCAAUCAAAUGAUGAAUUCGCAUAAGAUUAUAUAUCAUAAAGAUAUUCAAACAAAAAUAGAAAAAAGAAAAAGAAAAAAGAGAGAGAGAAAAGAAAAGUAAAACGUCGAAAAUUAAAAUUCGUUCGAACUUUUAAUGUAAAGUAGCAAUCCAUUUAGCGUAAAAUUCUGCGCUCAGGUAGCAAGCUCUGUCGUCGAUCAUAGAGCAGCGUUAAUAACGAAAGAAAAUAAUAUUCGUUUGCUAAAUUAGCUACGCCUUCAUCAACAUCAUGGCAAAAACGCUUGCGUAGCAAAAGAACUCUCUUGCAAGAAAUCUUGGGAAUUACCUCUUUGUUGGCGUGCUUAUGGUAGCACCGUUGGAGAUAUUGUUAAAAGUUAUUAUGAACAAUAGUAACAUGUUAAUUCUAUUGCAAUUAAACAAUCGAAGAAUUAAGUGAUAUAUGCAAUCGAUCGAAUUAAUAAAAUGGAUUACUACAAAAUGAACGAUGAACUAAUGAAUGAGAAAAUGAAUUGUAUGAGUGAAUAUUUUGUGUGAAUAAUAAUAAUAAAAAAAGAAUCCUUCGUUUAUCGUUUA